rnacentral:rRNA from 1 species
AUUGAACGCUGGCGGCAUGCCUUACACAUGCAAGUCGAACGGCAGCACGGGUGCUUGCGCCUGGUGGCGAGUGGCGAACGGGUGAGUAAUACAUCGGAACGUACCUUAUCGUGGGGGAUAACGCAGCGAAAGCUGUGCUAAUACCGCAUACGCCCUGAGGGGGAAAGCGGGGGAUCGCAAGACCUCGCGCGAUUAGAGCGGCCGAUGCCUGAUUAGCUUGUUGGUGGGGUAAAAGCCCACCAAGGCGACGAUCAGUAGCUGGUCUGAGAGGACAAUCAGCCACACUGGGACUGAGACACGGCCCAGACUCCUACGGGAGGCAGCAGUGGGGAAUUUUGGACAAUGGGGGCAACCCUGAUCCAGCAAUGCCGCGUGAGUGAAGAAGGCCUUCGGGUUGUAAAGCUCUUUUGUCAGGGAAGAAACACCGGCUCUAACACAGUCCGGGAAUGACGGUACCUGAAGAAUAAGCACCGGCUAACUACGUGCCAGCAGCCGCGGUAA